rnacentral:rRNA from 1 species
UACGUAGGGUGCGAGCGUUGUCCGGAAUUAUUGGGCGUAAAGAGCUCGUAGGCGGUGUGUCACGUCGGCCGUGAAAACCUGCAGCUUAACUGUGGGCGUGCGGUCGAUACGGGCAUCACUGGAGUUCGGCAGGGGAGACUGGAAUUCCUGGUGUAGCGGUGAAAUGCGCAGAUAUCAGGAGGAAAACCGGUGGCGAAGGCGGGUCUCUGGGCCGAUACUGACGCUGAGGAGCGAAAGCGUGGGGAGCAAACAGG